rnacentral:rRNA from 1 species
UAAAGGGCUGCAGUAUAUUGACUGUACAAAGGUAGCAUAAUCAUUAGUCUUUUAAUUGAAGACUUGUAUGAAGGAUUUGAUGAAAUAUGAACUGUCUCUGAUUUAUAAAUAGAAAUUAAUUUUUUAAUUAAAAAGUUAAAAUAUUGUUAAAAGACGAGAAGACCCUAUAGAGUUUUAUAAUUUAUUUAUUUAAUUAAUAAGUAUAUAUUUUAAUUUAAUAAAUAAUUAAAUUAUUAUGUUGGGGUGAUAAAAAAAUUUAAUAAACUUUUUUUAAUUUAAAACAUAAAUAAGUGAUAAAAUGAUCCAUUAUUAAUGAUUAAAAGAAAAAAUUACCUUAGGGAUAACAGCGUAAUAUUUUUUUUUAGUACAAAUAAAAAAAAAAGUUUGCGACCUCGAUGUUGGAUUAAGAUAAAAUUUAAAUGCAAAAGUUUAAAAGUUUUGAUCUGUUCGAUCAUUAAAAUCUUACAUGAUCUGAGCUC